UUGCGAACAAUAUUUAAAAUACUAAAAUACAUGAAAAGAGAGUCCACGAUUUCAGUGCACCUCACGACGUCACGCGUGCACCUGUACAGCGCGCGCACGCCGACACCGAACGAAUAUCGGGGCCCUUGUACACUUCUACGCUUGGAUGCCUGAGAAUCUCCAGGUUCAGACCCGUUCAGUUCACAGACACCGUUCAGCCGUUGCGGCGUUGCCGUUGCAGCAGCCAGCAGCGCUCGCCAGUGGACGACCAGCGCGCCGCGCGCAGGUCGCAGGUCAGUGCGACCCGUGGCCCGUGGGGUCGAUCGGCCCUUGUCUCUGUUUCAUCACUGCCGUAGUGCCGUGCUCGUGCUCGUGCUCGCGAGGUACCUCGCUCUCUCCUGACUUCCCGCGUCGGCGUCGCCGGCCUCCUCGUAUAAGAACCGACAUCCGACACGCCGCCUUCGCACUCGUCAACCUCUCCGCUUUGCCUCCCUCCCUCGCGUCCGCGUUCCCUCCCGCCUCCAGAUCUCGAUGCGGCAGCGGCUCCCCUGACAGCGGAGGCGACGCCGGCACCAUGUCCUCCUGCGACGACGACCACGCCUCGCUCCUCAGAUCCCACGCUGGGGCCUCGUCGCCGUCCUGCCCCUCGCCGCGCGGUUCGGCGGGACAUCAGCACCACGCCGACGUCGAGGCGGACGAGGCCACCGUCACCGCCUCCCCGAGGCUCGCCAGCGGCGGCGGGGGUGUGCGCGGUCUCCUGCGCAACCUCGAGCGCCGCAUGUCCGCACGCGGAUCUGGGCCUGGGCGUCGCCAGCACCAGCAUUAUCAGCAGCUCGAUCGCUCCGUGGCGAUCGAGUCGCCGCCGUCUCAGCGGCAGCGGGAGAGAGCGGCGGCGGGGGAUGACGACGAGCUCGGGGACGGGGCGCCGCCCGAGUGGGCGCUGCUGCUCAUCGGCUGCCUCCUCGGGCUCGCCACCGGCAUCUGCGUCGCCGCGUUUAACCGCGGGGUUCAUGUCAUCCAUGAAUGGGCAUGGGCAGGGACUCCCAACGAAGGUGCAGCAUGGCUCCGCCUGCAGAAGAUAGCUGAUACUUGGCACAGGAUACUGCUGAUCCCGGUGACUGGGGGUGUGGUUGUAGGAAUGAUGCAUGGGUUGCUCGAUAUAUUUGAGCAGCUAAAACUUGUGAAAUCAGGGCAGAGGCAAGGAAUCAACUUUGUUGGAGCCAUCUUCCCAACCAUAAAGGCUGUCCAAGCUGCUGUUACCCUAGGGACUGGCUGUUCCCUGGGACCUGAAGGUCCUAGUGUGGAUAUUGGCAAAUCGUGUGCAAAUGCAUGCUCAGAAAUGAUGGAGAGUAACCGGGAAAGGCGUAUUGCACUUGUUGCUGCUGGCGCUGCUGCUGGCAUUGCUUCAGGCUUCAAUGCAGCAGUUGCUGGGUGCUUCUUUGCCAUUGAAACUGUAUUAAGGCCUCUUAAAGCAGAAAAUUCACCUCCAUUUACGACUGCAAUGAUAAUAUUGGCAUCUGUUAUAUCAUCUACUGUUUCAAAUGUUUUACUUGGAGCCAGACCAGCUUUUAUAGUGCCAGCAUAUGAGCUCAAAUCUGCUGCCGAGCUACCAUUGUACCUUAUCUUAGGAAUGCUAUGUGGAGCGGUCAGUGUGGUAUUUGAUAGAUUGGUUGGAUGGUUUUCAAGAUUCUUUGGGCACAUAAAGGAAAAGUUUGAUUUUCCUAUAAUAGUGUACCCUGCUUUAGGUGGGCUGGGAGCUGGUAUCAUAGCUCUGAAAUAUCCAGGGAUCUUAUACUGGGGUUUCACAAAUGUUGAAGAAAUAUUGCAUACCGGUAAAAGUGCUUCUGCUCCUGGUAUCUGGUUGUUAACUCAACUGGCGGCUGCAAAGGUAGUUGCAACUGCUCUCUGCAAGGGCUCUGGGCUUGUGGGAGGACUAUAUGCUCCAAGCCUGAUGAUUGGGGCUGCUGUUGGAGCUGUUUUUGGGGGUUCAGCUGCUUAUUUAAUAAAUUCAGCUUUACCUGGUAAUGCUGCUGUUGCACAGCCACAAGCUUAUGCUCUGGUUGGAAUGGCUGCUACACUAGCUUCAGUCUGUUCAGUCCCAUUGACUUCAGUACUGCUUCUCUUUGAACUGACAAAGGAUUACAGGAUUUUGCUUCCGCUCAUGGGAGCAGUUGGGUUGGCAAUAUGGGUUCCUUCAGUAGUAAACCAGCCAAACGACAGUGAGCCUUCUGGGUUUAGAACAUCCAGACGAGGUUAUUCUUCAAUGUCACCAGAAGAAAGAAAUGGCAGCUUAAGGCAAGGUGAUGUUGUGGAUGAUCUUGAGCUCAGUAUUAUACAAACUGACAUGAGUAACUAUGGAACUUAUAAUGCAGAAAUGCUUCUGGAUGAUUUGAAGGUCUUCCAGGCCAUGUCAAAGAUAUAUCUCAAAGUGUUACCAUCUGCUACAGUAACAGAAGUUCUUAAUCUGUUGCAUGAUAGACAGCAAAAUUGUGCCCUGGUUGUGGACCCUGAAGAUUUUCUUGAAGGAAUAAUUACAUUAGGGGAUAUACGGCGCAUGGGAUAUGGGUUACAUGUGGAAAGUUUCAUCAAUGGAGAUCACCCCAAGGCUGACGUACGUUUAUAUGUAUCGUGGGAGCGAACGUGGAUUGUUAACAUGCUUUCCAGAUACUGAUUUGACCACUGCAAAGAGUCUUAUGGAGGCCAGAGGGAUAAAGCAACUGCCUGUAGUUAAGCGUGGUGUUGCCCAUAGAACUGCAGGAAAGCGCAGGCCGAUUGCCCUUCUACAUUAUGAUUCUAUUGGUUGCUGCGUGCGGGAGGAAAUAGAGAACUGGAAGACCAUAUAUCAGAGACUGGCUUGUUAAUAAUAUGAAACUACUUGGACGAUAUGAUUAUUCGUUUGAUUGCCGAGGGAGAAUAUUGUGAACUGAAGGUCAUGUAUCAGCGAAAAGCAGGCUUUCCUCUUGUAGCAAUUGUGCACUGAAAAACUACAGUGCCCUUAUGACACCACAACAGUAAGCAAGACUACAGGACAUCUAUGCGAAAUGCAGCUAGCCAGCUACACUGAUGUAGAGAUCAUUCAGGCAGUUUAACCUCUAUACUGUAUCAUUUUGAUUUCACGGUGAUCUGCAGGGGCAAGCCUGAUAAAUUCUGCAAAGACCUCCCAUUACUGCAAGUUUCAUGUGGCAUCCCUGCUCGUACCACUUAUUUGUUCUUGUUACGACCUGGACUUGUACUUUACGCGGGAUAGGAACGAAGUACAGACCUAGUGUAAGAAGGCGGUACUUUUUACCCUCGUACUGCUUGUAAAUUGUAAUGUGUAGCAUAUAUUAGAGCAUGAUAACUUCUGCUGCAUAUAUUCGUCAGUGUGAUCACUCAAGGAAUUUGUGCAGCAGAAUUUUGUCAUGUCGAUGUUGUAAGUUGAAGGAUCACAUUGCUUGUAAAAUUUGGCAGCAUGUUGUCUUAUCCUCGGAUGAGUAUGUUGUUGUAGAAACUUGCAUUUGGCCUUUGCUCUGCACACUCUUGUAUGUUGUGACGUAUUCAAUCCGUUCUGAUUUAUUGAUC